AUUGAACGCUGGCGGCAGGCCUAACACAUGCAAGUCGAGCGAGCGGCGGACGGGUGAGUAAUGUCUGGGAAAAUGCCUGAUGGAUGGGGAUAACUACUGGAACCGGUAGCGAAUACCGCAUGCCAUCCGAUGUGCCAAGAUGGGGUUAGCUAGUAGGUGGGGUAACGGCUCACCUAGGCGCCGAUCCCUAGCUGGUCUGAGAGGAUUACCAGCCACACUGGAACUGAGACACGGGCCAGACUCCUACGGGAGGCAGCAGUGGGGAAUAGUGCACAAUGGGCGCAAGCCUGAUGCAGCCAUGCCGCGUGUGUGAAGAAGGCCUUCGGGUUGUAAAGCACUUGCAGCGGGGAGGCGUUACCCGCAGAAGAAGCACCGGCUAACUCCGUGCCAGCAGCCGCGGUAAUAC
rnacentral:rRNA from 1 species